GACGAUUCCUACGGGAGGCAGCAGUAGGGAAUAUUGGACGAUGGGCGAAAGCCUGAUCCAGCAAUGCCGCGUGAGUGAUGAAGGCCUUAGGGUUGUAAAGCUCUUUUACCCGGGAUGAUAAUGACAGUACCGGGAGAAUAAGCUCCGGCUAACUUCGUGC
rnacentral:rRNA from 1 species